GAGGAAUAUUGGUCAAUGGACGGAAGUCUGAACCAGCCAAGUAGCGUGCAGGAUGACGGCCCUAUGGGUUGUAAACUGCUUUUGUAUGGGGAUAAAGUUAGGGACGUGUCCCUAUUUGCAGGUACCAUACGAAUAAGGACCGGCUAAUUCCGUGCCAGCAGCCGCGGUAAUACGGAAGGUCCAGGCGUUAUCCGGAUUUAUUGGGUUUAAAGGGAGCGUAGGCUGGAGAUUAAGUGUGUUGUGAAAUGUAGACGCUCAACGUCUGAAUUGCAGCGCAUACUGGUUUCCUUGAGUACGCACAACGUUGCCGGAAUUCGUCGUGUAGCGGUGAAAUGCUUAGAUAUGACGAAGAACUCCGAUUGCGAAGGCAGCUGACGGGAGCGCAACUGACGCUUAAGCUCGAAGGUGCGGGUAUCAAACAGGAUUAGAUACCCUGGUAGUCCGCACAGUAAACGAUGGAUGCCCGCUGUUGGUACCUGGUAUCAGCGGCUAAGCGAAAGCAUUAAGCAUCCCACCUGGGGAGUACGCCGGCAACGGUG
rnacentral:rRNA from 1 species